GGGUCAAUGAUGAGAACCUUAUAUUGUCCUGAAGAGAUGUGAUGACUUAAAAAAAAAAAGAAAGCAUUUAAGAAAAUUU